rnacentral:lncRNA from 1 species
GCAUGAGCCACAAUGCUCAGCCUCAUUUCUUGCUAAUAAUUUUUAAAACCAACUCUAUAAGGUAGAGCCUGUCAUUUUUCCUGUUUUAUACAUGAAGAAAAUGAAACACGGAGUAGUUAAGUCACCUGCCUAUAAGGAAACUCAAUUAAUGAAUGGAGUAGCCAGGAUUUGAAUUCAGGUGUGACCAUAAAGGCCAUGUGCACCUUCUACUCACUCCACAGCCUCUGGAGUGGCUGUAUGAUUGUUGCAGCAUGGAAUACACCGGUUCUCUCCAUCCGCAAACCAAAAAGAUUGCAUUAUCAUAAUGUUUGGUCAGCUCCCCAUGGAAGCCCCCCAAAACCCAUUAAAGAAGCCCAUUCUCUAGGGCCCCAAUGAAUCUCACUAAGUAAAUUGCCUUUUGAAAGUAAAAGGAAAAUGAAACAUCUAUGGCCUCAAACUUUAUAUGAGCAAUAAUUCAGGAAUCUCUUUCAGAACCCAGAGAGGAAAGCUCCCCAUGGGAAGAAGGAGGGGUGUAGAAGUGUGAUUCCUGGGUGUAGAGCCAGAAACUCAUUAAUAUUUGUGGAAUCCUUGAAAGAGAAAAAGCACAGUUUGAACUGGAACAUUCCAAAGCAGUAAUUCAUUUCCCAAAUUAAUGUGCUGUGGUAUAAUCGUUAGGAAGAAGAGCGAGGGUCCGAGGGCCCUGCCGAUGUAGGAGAUAAAUCUCUGGGCUCCCGAAAUGUUUUUCAUUUUAAAAGUUCAAGUCAUCACUCAACAUGGGCCAGAGAAUACUAAGACCUUUGACAGUGAACCUCUUACAGGAUGGAGAAGCUGAGGCCUUAACUCACAAGGUUGUGCCUUUAUAAGGCAACAAAGCAAAAGCAAGUGUGUCAUAGAUGGAAACCUGUUUACCUAGAUCUCACCGACCUGUUGAGAGGAAAGGAGCCAACCUGGCCUGGUGACCUUCUCUGUGCAAGCAGGGAGCAGGCACACACCACCAAUGAGUGAAGAAGGCUGCUGUGGCAUGCUCGGGACCUAGAGGGAACCUGCCUCAUUGACAGGGGACAGCAGCUGCACAGCUCCAGACAAUCGUUGUCAAGGACGGGAAUGAGAUUCUAACAUGGCUGAUCUGAUUUUUCAAGAAAGAAAUGACUUCUGGCAACUGACAGGCUCCACGUUGAGUGUUCACACUGUGCCCAAUUCUGCCCUGAGCACUUUGCUUGGUUUCUCCACAACAAUAUUGUGAUCAGUAUAAUUACUGUUAUUCCCAUUUUAUAGAUGAGAAAAAUAGUAAUGGAGGAAAUGGAAGGAAAAAGGAUGGCCAUAAGUUGGAGGCAGGUGAAAGACCCAAAUUCAUGGAAGAGAAGUGAGUCACACAGGGAGCCAGUGGCAGAGCCACACCCCACAGAGCAAUCAACAUGCUCUACUCUGCAGACCUGCAACAGGGAGGGAAGCCAGACUCUGAUGCAAGAAGGAAAGACCAUGUGCUGGCUCAGUGUGUGCAGCCUGGACUGAGCUACUGAACUCUAAAUCCAAGGAUGACUAAUAGGCAGAAUGACAUUAAUACCAGACCUGAUGAAGACAGCACAAAAAGUAAAUCUCAACACAACCUCACAAUAUUAAUAAAGCAAAAAUUUUAAAUACA